rnacentral:rRNA from 1 species
UACAGAGGUGGCGAGCGUUAUUCGGAAUUAUUGGGCGUAAAGGGCGCGUAGGCGGCCACGCAAGUCUUGGGUGAAAUCCCUCGGCUCAACCGAGGAACUGCCUUGGAAACUGCAUGGCUCGAGGCCGGGAGAGGGUAGCGGAAUUCCCAGUGUAGCGGUGAAAUGCGUAGAUAUUGGGAGGAACACCGGUGGCGAAGGCGGCUACCUGGACCGGUUCUAGACGCUGAUGCGCGAAAGCGUGGGGAGCAAACAGG